AUUGAACGCUGGCGGCAGGCCUAACACAUGCAAGUCGAGCGGUAGCACAGAGAGCUUGCUCUCGGGUGACGAGCGGCGGACGGGUGAGUAAUGUCUGGGAAACUGCCUGAUGGAGGGGGAUAACUACUGGAAACGGUAGCUAAUACCGCAUAACGUCGCAAGACCAAAGUGGGGGACCUUCGGGCCUCAUCCCAUCAGAUGUGCCCAGAUGGGGUUAGCUUGUAGGUGAGGUAACGGCUCACCUAGGCGACGAUCCCUAGCUGGUCUGAGAGGAUGACCAGCCACACUGGAACUGAGACACGGUCCAGACUCCUACGGGAGGCAGCAGUGGGGAAUAUUGCACAAUGGGCGCAAGCCUGAUGCAGCCAUGCCGCGUGUGUGAAGAAGGCCUUCGGGUUGUAAAGCACUUUCAGCGGGGAGGAAGGCGAUAAGGUUAAUAACCUUGUCGAUUGACGUUACCCGCAGAAGAAGCACCGGCUGACUCCGUGCCAGCCGCCGCAGUAAGAC
rnacentral:rRNA from 1 species